rnacentral:lncRNA from 1 species
AUGGUGCUGUCUUUGCUCCUGCUGCUGUUGCUCUCUGUUUGCAAUGCUAGUCAUUUCUUCGGAACAGUGAUGACCUAUUAUCCAAGCUACACUGACAUAAAUCAAACUGUUCAGGUGGUCCUUCGCGCUAAGAUGAACUUCCAUCUUUGCUCACAGUUGACUAGAUGGAGCUGUUCCAGUUUGAACUGUGGUACUGAGAUCUUGUUACCGAACACUGUCAUUGACAGAGAAAGCAGCGACGACUGGUGUCAGUAUGAGGAAAUAUCAACUCGGCAGGUUCCCAACAACGCUCCAUUUCUACUGAUGUUGAGCGGUGGUUCAUGGGUAGGGAAUAAUAAUGGCAUCACUAAUUGGCGAGCUAUUACAGUGGUUGAUGUGAGAAACAGAUCUGACACCAACAAAGCCAACUCAUCACCACAGACCACCAUCCUGCCUCUUCUCAGAGUUCCUUCAAACUGUCAAAGAGACUUUAACCUCUUGGCCUUUGACUCUGAUGGAGAUAAUGUAAGAUGCAGAUAUGGAGAUGCAUCACUGUCAGAGUGUUACACCUGCACUCAACCACCUGUUCUCAACCUCUCAGCAUCCUGUACGUUGUCAUUCAGCCCAACAAGCAGCAGUAAUGAAGGAGCGUAUGUUGUUCAGAUGGUGAUGGAGGACUUUCCAAAGCAGAAUAUCACCCUGACUCAAACUAAUGGUUCACAGGAGGUGAAAAGCAACAAUGAUGCCGUCAGCAAGAUUCCAGUCCAGUUUGUUGUAAGCGUGGAUCCUGUGGUGCCGUCCUGCACAGAGGGACUUUAUUUGCCCAAGUUCCUGCCUCCAACCCCAGAUAAUGGGGCUCAUCUGUACACGCUGGUCAAUCAGUCCCUGACAAUUGCCAUCAAGGCCGAGACUCUUAAUGCUACGAUGUCGGAGCUGCUGUACAGUGGGCCGUCCAGCAUUAACCAGACCACGUCAGGUCCAGGACACUACAUCAUGACGUGGACUCCAUCUCAACGCGAGGAUGGAGAAAGUCACCCCAUCUGCUUUGUCGUCCAGGCUACAUACAAUGGAGUGAAGUAUCACUCAGAGCUUCGAUGCGUCGUCGUUGCUGUAAAAGCACCUCCACUAUUCAGACAUAAAGUUGUUGUAGCCCUGAAAAUAAAGGUCUCCCCCUCAUCUCCAGUGUCUGAGGAAGACAUCAGGAUUGGCAUCAUUCAAAAGGUCAAACAUGAACUGGACAGCAGAGGGAUAGCAUCAAAUGUGACGCUGCGCCUUGUGAAGACGGACACAGCCACACCAAGUCCUGAUUGUUGAUGAAUUGCUAGCUAUAUUAAGUUCAGUUGUUGUUUAAGCAGUUUUGGUUUUGACAACGUUCAUAAAGCUCAGUUCAGGAGCCUAGUGAAAUCUAAUUACAGCUUUCAACAUACACUCAAUUAUGUGCAUCAGUCUUCCAGUCAUUAUUUUAAUUGUGAUUUUAAAACACUUUAUUCUACAUAUCAGCUGUCAUGGAUUUGGACUCUUAAGUUACCUGUUUUACUGUCAUACCACUUCUGUUUUGUGUUGGUUCCAGCUUGUGCAUCCGGUCAUGUGAUCCACCAGCUGCUAUCAAUUUUUCAUUACUUCUGUUACAUAUAUUCCACUUCUCACCAUGACUCCUUGCCAGAUUGUUGCGUGAACUCACCACUUUCCAGCAUUGUAUUCCUGUUUGCUUUCUGUGCCUGACCACCAGCCUAGCCCUUUGAACCCUAGCCAAGCCUAUAGUUUUUGACCUGUGCCUGUAUUUUGACCGCCGCCUGCUGAUUCCCUGUUUGUACCUCUUACUGUACCUGUGUUUUGGCCCUCGCCCGUACGACCUGGGUUCAGCUCUGCCAUUAAAUGAACUUUUCCUCACCCC